rnacentral:tRNA from 1 species
GCGAUUUUAGCUCAGUUGGGAGAGCGCCAGACUGAAGAAACACUUCAGCCACCUGGUAUCUGGAGGUCACCCGUUCGAUCCGGGUAAAUCGCA